AUUGAACGCUGGCGGUAGGCUUAACACAUGCAAGUCGAGCGAGAAAGCCCUUCGGGGUGAGUAGAGCGGCGGACGGGUGAGUAACGCGUAGGAAUCUGCCUGGUAGUGGGGGACAACCUGUGGAAACGCAGGCUAAUACCGCAUACGCCCUACGGGGGAAAGCGGGGGAUCUUCGGACCUCGCGCUAUCAGAUGAGCCUGCGUUAGAUUAGCUAGUUGGUGAGGUAAAGGCUCACCAAGGCGACGAUCUAUAGCUGGUCUGAGAGGAUGAUCAGCCACACUGGGACUGAGACACGGCCCAGACUCCUACGGGGAGGCAGCAGUGGGGAAUAUUGCGCAAUGGGGGAAACCCUGACGCAGCCAUACCGCGUGUGUGAAGAAGGCCUUAGGGUUGUAAAGCACUUUCAAUUGGGAGGAAAGGUCCAGGGUGAAUAGCCCUGGGCUGUGACGUUACCUUUAGAAGAAGCACCGGCUAACUCCGUGCCAGCAGCCGCGGUAA
rnacentral:rRNA from 1 species